rnacentral:rRNA from 1 species
GACGAACGCUGGCGGCGUGCUUAACACAUGCAAGUUGAGCGGAAAGGCUCCUUCGGGGGUACUCGAGCGGCGAACGGGUGAGUAACACGUGAGUAAUCUGCCCUGCGCUCUGGGAUAGCCACCGGAAACGGUGAUUAAUACCGGAUAUGACCGCCACACGCAUGUGUUGGUGGUGGAAAGUUUUUCGGCGCAGGAUGUGCUCGCGGCCUAUCAGCUUGUUGGUGAGGUAAUGGCUCACCAAGGCUUUGACGGGUAGCCGGCCUGAGAGGGUGACCGGUCACACUGGGACUGAGACACAGCCCAGACUCCUACGGGAGGCAGCAGUGGGGAAUAUUGGACAAUGGGCGGAAGCCUGAUCCAGCAACGCCGCGUGAGGGAUGACGGCCUUCGGGUUGUAAACCUCUUUCAGUACCGACGAAGCGAAAGUGACGGUAGGUACAGAAGAAGGACCGGCCAACUACGUGCCAGCCGCCGCGGUAACAC